UACGUAGGGGGCAAGCGUUGUCCGGAAUUAUUGGGCGUAAAGAGCGUGUAGGCGGCCAGAUAAGUCCGCUGUGAAAUCUCGAGGCUCAACUUCGAGCUGUCGGUGGAAACUAUCUGGCUAGAGUCCGGAAGAGGAGAAUGGAAUUCCUGGUGUAGCGGUGAAAUGCGCAGAUAUCAGGAAGUACACCCGCGGCGAAGGCGGUUCUCUGGGACGGUACUGACGCUGAGACGCGAAAGCGUGGGGAGCGAACAGG
rnacentral:rRNA from 1 species